ACGGACACAUCACUUUGAAACACCGGUUCGCACACGGUCACCGAAGUUAAGCAACGUCGAGCUUGAUCAGUACCUAGAUGGAUGACAGCUUGGGAAUACCAAGUGCUGUGA